CUAUCCCUGUCGCUCGAGCUUUAUGGCUCUUCCUGCCGUCGUGGCGUGGGGGAGAGCGUGUCGGACAGCCACGCCCCUUCCAGCCUCCGGGUCCCGCUCACUAGCAAGGGGCCGCUGCUGUGAAGCUCCGUUUGUCUGGGAAACGGGGCAGGAAAUGCCAAGGUCCGGGGGUUUGGGGCAGCCUGGCGGCUGUGUUGUGCUUCGAUUCUCGCCCGGCCGUGGGAGUGAGGCGGGGGUCGGGCGGAGGGUUCCCGGAGCCGUGGCCUUGCUGUCGCCCGGGUCCCCGUAGGGGCGUGUGUGCAGGCCUCUGGCCCCGCCGCGGGGCAGCACGCCCUCGCCUCUUCGUGCAGCCUAAUUCUGGAGAAGGGUGGUGUGGUCCUUAGCACUUCGCAGCGUUCUCGUUUCUUAUUAACUUCCUGCUUCAUUUGUCACCUCCCGUUAGAAUGGAACCCCGGGCAAGAAUUGUCUUUUCUUUUCCUCUUUCUGUCCCCGACGCUUCUCCCGGUGUCUGGCCUUGAGAAUGUUUAUGAGAAAAUGUUAGCAAGAGCGUUCGUCUCCAUGUGCCUUUAUGGACAACUCCAGAAGGGCCGCUCCAUCAGCUUCUCGCGCUGACCUUUUCAAAUUCCAGCGCCUUAAAAUUAGUGUAGGGGCCUCCCUGGGGGUCCAGUGGUCAAGAAUCCGCCUUGCAGUGCAGGGGACGCGGGUGCCAUCCGUGGUCGGGAGCUAAGCUCCCACGUGCCGCCGCGCAGCCAAAAAAAGAAAAACAGUUACUGUAAAAUGUUAAUUUCUUAUGAGUUGAUGUCCUUCGGUUUCAUGGUGUUUAUCCGUUCUGUUUCCCUGAAGAUCCAGAAGGGCUCAGCACAUAACCUCUGGGCCCCUUGAUAAAUAACAGUUGAAGUAAACUCUUCCCUAACCCAGUCUCAUUUCCGGGCUGCAAGCUGGUAACUUUGACUUUGCCUCCAAAUAUCAAAGGAUACAUAAUAAUUAAAAUUUUUAUUCUGAUUUACUAGCUUAAAAGCAGGUUCUAGCUUAUUAUUCCAAAAAUUGUCACUUUUACACCGUAACCUCAUAACCAUUCUUACCAAGGUGAAUAUCCUGAUUAACUAGGCAGCAUAACUAAGCACUGCUACUUGGCUGUCAGACUUUGGGGGGUUCAAAUUCAAUCUCUAAUAGAUACUAUCCUGUGACUUUGGACAAAUUACGUAGCCUCUCUGCCUCAGUUUCCUCAUCUAAAUCUGGGUAACAAUAUGUAUAUUUUAAGGCUUUUAUGAGGAUUAAGUGAAUUACCUAGGUGUUUUAGUAUCGGACACACAGUAAGUACUCAAUAAGUGUAAGCAAUUACUAACCAUAAAUAGCCAAUACUUUAUUAUAAUAAUUACUAAUAUCAGCAUAUUUUAAAAUGAAGUUAAAACUGCAAAGGUGCUUUGAGGCUGCCUCUGCAUUCUUAGAAAAUAGAACAUGAUUCUUCCUGUUAUACAGGUUUUUGGGUGUAAGAGACUAAUCCAAAUGUUACUCUCACUGUGUCUAGAGUUUUCACAGUAAAGUAACAGCUUUAAAUAAACUGUCAUAUUCCUCGAACCAACCCGAAUAACAGAAUCAUACCUUUGAAAACCUCUCCAGAACUGAUCUCCAGUGAGAAGAUAAAUCCUCCUAGAAGACAACGUGUCAGUCUACUUAGUUAAGACAGGGCUUCUGAGUUCUGAAGUCUUGCCCAUGUGUAGCUAGAACAGAGCCAAGACUAUGCACUAUCUCUGAAGACUAAGGACACAAUUUCAUCCCAAGAGAGGGAAGAAUAUUAUUCCGAAGAGCCUAUUACUGUUUCUGUCUGUUCUUCGUUAAGUGUGGCAGGAUAAUAUUAACAGGUUGCCUCCUCCAGCCACUGUCCUCUUCUCUCGAUGUUUUUGUGCAUCACUCCACCCCAAAUGAGCAGCUAGGCAUUCUGUGCUUAUUGCUUUAAGGGAAGAUGUGACAGCAAAGAAAGCGUCCUUCCUGGCUUUGGUGUUGCAAAAGGCUUGGCUUUACAGGAACAAAAAAGACUCCUGGCAGAGCAAGAGAUUUGGAUAAAACAUGUUUUGUAAGAGCCUGGCUUUCUACUCGCAGAAGAAACUAAAACAAACCCAUCUCCUGUGCUGGGGACCAAGGAGGCUGUGAGUGGUACAGGCAAGAGAGAAGGAGGGGGGCAGUGGGGGCCGGUCUCCACUGUCCCCGAGAUAGGGAGUCUGAACCAAGCUCCCCAGUCCCAUCCUUGGGACACUGCAGACCUCCAUAUUUGGGUUUGUGAGAUCCGAGAGCAGGAGGAAGGUGUGCCCAGAGACCUGAGCACCGCCCAGGAAGGCAGUGGGCCCAGAGAGAGAAUAUGGACUCAUGGGACGCCUGGUGUGAGUAGGUAGGUGGCAACUAGAUGGACUCUUAAAGACCUUCUGGGCCCUAACGUGGAAUGCGAGCAAAACGGUGUCCCUGUAUAUCCAGGUGUGCCGUGGAAGAAGAAAGACACGUCCACACUUCAAGGGAGCUUGCAGAAGGGAACUCUGAGCCCAGCAGAGGCUGGGGAAACUGAUGACUGCAUUAAGAUGCUGUGUUUCUCACUGGAUGCCCAUGUAGACAGAUGGCAUUGGAAACCAGAGGCUCCCAACCUAAACGCUCGUCACCAAACUAGACAUUCUCAAAUUUAGAUCCAGCUGCGGGGUUGGUGGGAGAUACCAGGAAUUGGCAGAGAUUAUGGUAUCACCAACCGUUUGGAAGAGGCAGUUCAAAACUGAACUUAAUUAAGGUGAGUUAUAGAAAAAUAAACUUGUGUUUGUACCUUCACAUGGGAAUAGGCUGUGAUAAGGACCCAGACCAGUUUGAAGUAACACCCAACCCCACUGUCAAAGGUAAAAAAUCAGAAAGGACACCAGGGACUGGGGAGAAAGCUUCAGGACCUUAGAUGUUAAGAGUCAGCCUCUGACAGCAAAGUCGGAACUCGGGGAAGAGGUCCACAUGCAGCUCUCUAAGGAGACAACAUGACUCUGCUCCUAGAAGGAGCGCUGGUGUGGAUGAGGUGGCAAGGUGUUGGAGAAGGUCCUCAGUAAGGACCCCUGCUCUGAGCCGCUCAGAGAAAUGGCUGCUUCCAGUGCAAGGUCAAUCGUUAAACAUUAGAGUGGAAAGGCAGCACGCAGGCUCUGCCUGCUAGAUGUGUGACUCUCUAAGGAUAAUUGUAGGUCUUCCAGGUGGGAACAUUGAACCAACGGAAGACCGCAGAUGCCACCAGGGGACAGCAGAGUCUCUGACAUGAGCAGAAAUCAUCCCACAGACAGAAAUGGUGCCAUGCGCUCUGGGCCUGAGGACCCCCAUGACAAGAUCCAUCCUCCAGGAGCUGGAGGGGAUGCAACAAAAAAGGGUAUUGGAUGACCGGUGCACAGUGACAACAGUAAGAGGGUUUGUGUCUACUCCUUUCCUGAGGAGUAAUAAGAUUCAUUCUAACUGUUUUCCAUUGCAAAAUGUGUAUUUCUCUGAUAGACCAAAACCAAUGAUACACUAAUGUGAACCCAAAAAACCAUUGUUGAAAUCCUUAGUAUUCCUUCUCUCUGAAGAAAAAUGUUCACAUUCAUCUACAAGGACUUCCUCAAAAUGGAUUUUAUAAUUAUCACAAACAGAAAUAAUACCAACACCUACUGCUCAUUGCUGUGUGCCAGCCUCUAUGCUGAGUGCUUUACAUAAUUAAUGUUAUUUAAUCCUCAACAUAACUGUGUCAUAGGUGAUCUUAACAUCCUAUUUUACUUACCAGGCAAAUAAGUGCUAGCGAGGUCACGAAAGUUGCCUGAUGUGGCCUCCUAAGACAAUUCACUAUGUACUAGAAAGAUGGAACCUGACACUGUAUCUUUAAACCUAUAAGAUUUAAACACUGUGUAAGAAACUCCAAGAUAUUUAAAGAGCCCCGAGCUCCUUGUGACAUCAGCACUGGACUUGGUUUAUCCUUCUAUAACUUGGCUUUGACCUGGCAUCUUAAACAGUUUAGGCUUCUAUACCUUUUGUAAGUCAUUAUCUAUAGAAUGUGAACCGAGGCAAAUAAAACACUUUUCCAUAGAAAAAGAAAACAAUAAUAAAAUUUCCUCCUAAUCACUUCGCAGAGAGAUUAGAGAGUUGGUGCCAGUCUUCUAGCAUCUCCAUGAAUUUCCCUAAUUCGGGGCAGAGAUUGAAGGCAAAAGAAACUAAUAGACAUGCAAGUAACAAAUCCUGGUGACUGACUGAAGGGUUACCCUAAGUAGAAGCAUCCAUAUAGAGAAGGUCUGUUAGGACCUUUUGAUUGACAGAGACUUUUGUGAUAUGUUGAGGAUUUAGGAUUAUCUCUAAAGAGGCAACGUAGGAUUUUUAGCAGGGUUAACAUUAAAAGAUUUGCAUUUUUAAAGAUUACUCCGGUUCUAGCAUGGAGAACAAAAUCAAAGGAGCCACAACAGAUGGAAGGAGGGCUGUGCACCACUUAGUAGUGGUGAGAGGUGACUCUAGCUUGUGCAACGAUGCUGAUAGUAAAGAUGGAUAAAAAUUGAUAGAUGAGAAAGCCAAAUGGGGAGGGAGGUGUGAAAUCAACAGUUCCAAGCAAUGGAUUGGAUAUGGGAUGUGACAGAGAAUGGAUGAGGGACAGACUACACCUGGAUAUGGGAAGGCUAUUUGCGAUUUAUGGUGGGAAACUGGAAGAAGAUAAUAUUUGAGUGGAAUAUCCUAAGUCUGGUCUUGGAUACGUUGAGUUUGAGGUACCCUUGAGACAUUCGAGUGGGGAUGUUGAAUAGUUAAUUGGAUAUAUCAUGGGGGAGGUCUAAGAUCAAGAUGGAAAUUUAGGGGUCAUUAGUAUACGGGUGACAAUUUCAUGGGGACAGGUGUGAUUUCGGGGGGAACAGAGCAGAGGGUGAGUAGAGAAGAGGUCCCAGGGCAGAGCCUUGAGGAACCACAGCAUUUAAAGGCCCAGGAGAGAAGGAUAUGUCUGAAAUGAAGGCAGAGAAGAAAAGUCGGAAACACAGCAAGGAAAGAAUGUGGUGUCUGGGAGCUCCCUGGCAGUCCAGUGGUUAGCACUCCACACUGUCACUGCCAAGAGCCUGGGUUCAGUCCCUGGUCGGGGAACUAAGAUCCCACAAGCUGUGCAGCGCAGCCAAAAAAAACCAAUGCGGUAUCAUGGAAAGAAAGAAUGUUUCAAGGAGAAAGUGAAAAACAGGUUGACAGGUAAAUGUGGGAGGUCAAGUAAAAAGAGGACUGAAAACAUCCACUGAAUAUAGUGACCACGGAGGUCUCUGAUGACCUCGCUCUGGCAUUAAUAAUCAAUGGUAUUACAUCUCUAGUGGAAUAAUUCAUGGUAGUAACAUUUAUUCCCAAUAAUCUUAACAUUAGUUUUAAUGUCCUUAAACUUACUGAAAAUGAUAAGUACAGUAUAGAAUUCCUGUAAACAUUUAAACGUCUUUGGAAAAAGAGGGUUUUUUUUCCCACAGCAUGAUCCAGUUCCUUUGGCAGAAUGGUUUGUGGGAAUUAAAAGAACUAACAUUGCUGAAUAUCUGCUGUGUGCCUGAUGCUUUCACAUGCCUUGUAAGCAUCGUCUGCAUCCUAGCGUCCAUGUCAACCAUUGUAGAUCAACACUGAUGGCUGGUGGUGACAGUCUGAAGUUCAAAAAGAAAGGAAUAUCUCACCUUGCUAAGAAGAAAGGUUUCAGAGAGGGUUAUGGCUUUCCUCAAAUCGCAACAAUGGAUCUAUUUAAGUCCUGGAACUCUGCUGGUUGCCCCAGAAAUCUGUACUACAAAGCAUCAUCCAAAAAAAAAAAGUCAACCUUGACUGUAAAAGCGGUGAGGCUGGUGUUUGAAUCCUUUUUCACAGAGGAGGAAACCAGGUAGAAGAAGCUAAAGAAUAUGUCCCAAGGCUAUGUUGUCAGAGCUGGCAGGCCGUGAAACAUGCUGGCUAGGUCAGCAAGAGCAUUGCUCUUUCUCUAUCUCGAUGUUUGGGAACAUCUACCAAUAAAACGGUUUUGUUUUUAUCAUUAGU